UACGGAGGGGGCGAGCGUUAUUCGGAAUUAUUGGGCUUAAAGGGCGCGUAGGCGGCCCGGUAAGUCAAAGGUGAAAUCCCUCGGCUCAACUGAGGAACUGCCUUUGAAACUGUCGGGCUUGAGGCCGGGAGGGGGUAGCGGAAUUCCCAGUGUAGCGGUGAAAUGCGUAGAUACUGGGAGGAACACCAGUGGCGAAGGCGGCUGCCUGGACCGGUUCUGACGCUGAUGCGCGAAAGCGUGGGUAGCAAACAGG
rnacentral:rRNA from 1 species